GUUCUUCCUCUCAUCUCUCUCUCCCUUCUAAGUUUCAAGCCCAUUUUCUCUCUCUUUCUCCACUCUCCCAAAAGUUUGAAGGGUCAAAUACCAGAGGGACGGCUCUGGAGUCUGCUUUGGGGUUAAGGAGCCCCUCAGUGCUGCUUUAAGAGCCCAAUUACUCCCAUCAGGUGUGAGGAACUGCCUUCGCAGACGGGACGAUACAAACACACACACACAUGUGCCACGGGAGCAUUUGUGUCACGAGGUGAAGAAGAAGUGUGCUAAACAGCUGGAGCCGAGCCGUAUUUCUAAAUUGUCGACACCUCCAUGGGCAUUCAGGUGUCUGUACUGGACUGGUGAAGUGAUGCUGUAUAAUCCCUGUAACAUAUUACAUCCUAGCCUUCAGAGUGACCUGCAAGAUGAGGAAUUGUGUGUUCAGCAGAAGCCGGCAGGAUAUAUGAUAAGACGGACCCUGAAUCGAACACUUUUGUUUCUCACAAAGGGAAAAGAGGGAAAUUCCCCUGCAAACUCUUUUAAAGCGGCAGCUGCACACACACAUGUGCUUCACCUUUACAGCGCUCAGCUCCUCAACCUGCAUGACUGAUGUAGUGUGCAAAGUGAACAUCUCAUAAAACGUCACCUGCAGUCAGGCCUGCAUGUACCUGUAACAUGUCAAUAUUUUACAACGCCAGCAAACGCCAUUUCUGCAGUCAUAUAUAACCGGGGCCUGCAAACGGCUGAGAUGCUAAGUAUUCAUUCGCACAUUAUUCAUGGUGACAAAGGCCUGAAAACACGUCGUGGUGCUAAAGAAAAGUUGAAAAACCGUCAAAGCGGGUCAAAGCAUUUAUUUCGGUGCGAGUGUUCGCAGGGUUUGUGUUUCAUUGAUUGGGUGUUGUGUGCUCUGGCAAAAAUAAAAAUCAGAUUGUGCUUAUCUCUCACCUGUGUGUGUAUUUAUGUGAAGCAGGGUGUGUGUGUGUGUGUGUGUGUGUGUGUGUGUGU